rnacentral:rRNA from 1 species
AACGCGAAGAACCUUACCUGGGCUCGAACGGCUUAAGACAGGGGUGGAAACACCCUCUCCCCUUAAAAGGCUUGAGUCGAGGUGCUGCAUGGCUGUCGUCAGCUCGUGUCGUGAGAUGUUGGGUUAAGUCCCGCAACGAGCGCAACCCUUGUCCUGUGUUGCCACUCCCCUUAAAAGGAAGCACUCGCAGGAGACCGCCAGCGAUAAGCUGGAGGAAGGUGGGGAUGAUGUCAAGUCAUCAUGGCCUUUAUGUCCAGGGCUACACACGUGCUACAAUGGCCGGUACAAAGCGCUGCAAACCCGCGAGGGGAAGCUAAUCGCAAAAAACCGGUCUCAGUUCGGAUCGCAGGCUGCAACUCGCCUGCGUGAAGCUGGAAUCGCUAGUAAUGCCGUAUCAGAACGAUGGCGUGAAUACGUUCCCGGGCCUUGUACACACCGUAGUAC